AACAUCGCGCACCUGCGGGAACCUGCGGAAGGAUCAUUACAGAGAUUGAUGCACCAAGUGCAUCACCUCCAACCCCUUGCGAAAACAACUAUCAUGUGUUGCUUUGGCAGUGUUUCCACUGCCAGAGGUUUACAUAAAAUCAGCUGUUGGAUGUUGUCUGAGUAAACUAUAUGAAUUAUUUAAAACUUUCAGCAACGGAUCU
rnacentral:misc_RNA from 1 species